GACGAACGCUGGCGGCGUGCUUAACACAUGCAAGUCGAACGGAAAGGCCCUGCUUUUGUGGGGUGCUCGAGUGGCGAACGGGUGAGUAACACGUGAGUAACCUGCCCUUGACUUUGGGAUAACUUCAGGAAACUGGGGCUAAUACCGGAUAGGAGCUCCUGCUGCAUGGUGGGGGUUGGAAAGUUUCGGCGGUUGGGGAUGGACUCGCGGCUUAUCAGCUUGUUGGUGGGGUAGUGGCUUACCAAGGCUUUGACGGGUAGCCGGCCUGAGAGGGUGACCGGCAAAAUGGGGCCUGAGAUCCGGCCAGACUCCUACGGGAGGCAGCAGUGGGGAAUAUUGCACAAUGGGCGGAAGCCUGAUGCAGCAACGCCGCGUGCGGGAUGACGGCCUUCGGGUUGUAAACCGCUUUCGCCUGUGACGAAGCGUGAGUGACGGUAAUGGGUAAAGAAGCACCGGCUAACUACGUG
rnacentral:rRNA from 1 species